rnacentral:rRNA from 1 species
GAUGAACGCUGGCGGCGUGCCUAAUACAUGCAAGUCGAGCGGACGGACGAGAAGCUUGCGUCUCUGAUGUUAGCGGCGGACGGGUGAGUAACACGUGGAUAACCUACCUAUAAGACUGGGAUAACUUCGGGAAACCGGAGCUAAUACCGGAUAAUAUUUUGAACCGCAUGGUGCAAAAGUGAAAGACGGUCUUGCUGGCAGUUAUAGAUGCAUCCGCGCUGCAUUAGCUAGUUGGUAAGGUAACGGCUUACCAAGGCAACGAUGCAUAGCCGACCUGAGAGGGUGAUCGGCCACACUGGAACUGAGACACGGUCCAGACUCCUACGGGAGGCAGCAGUAGGGAAUCUUCCGCAAUGGGCGAAAGCCUGACGGAGCAACGCCGCGUGAGUGAUGAAGGUCUUCGGAUCGUAAAACUCUGCUAUUAGUGAAGAACAUAUGUGUAAGUAACUGUGCACAUCUUGACGGUACCUAAUCAGAAAGCCCCGGCUAACUACGUG